CUGGUGGUGAUAAGAAAGUUGGUCCUAUAUUAAAAUGGAGACUUGAGCCAAAAAAUGUGAUGAAGUGGGCUCUUCUACUACCAUCUACACUUCAUAAAUUGGAAAAUGAAACAAAAUGAGGAUGCCACACACAUUCAUUUGCAUGGAGAAUUAUGAGAUGAUGAUGCUCCGUUUUCUUCAAAGCCCUGAUCAGCAGCAUCUUCACAUCAGAGUAGAGAUGUCAGAUGUCU